UCUGGGUCACCUCCCACCCGUGUUUAUUUACCUUGUUGCUUCGGCGGGCCCGCCUUAACUGGCCGCCGGGGGGCUUACGCCCCCGGGCCCGCGCCCGCCGAAUACACCCUCGAACUCUGUCUGAAGAUUGUAGUCUGAGUGAAAAUAUAAAUUAUUUAAAACUUUCAACAACGGAUCUCUUGGUUCCGGCAUCGAUGAAGAACGCAGCGAAAUGCGAUACGUAAUGUGAAUUGCAAAUUCAGUGAAUCAUCGAGUCUUUGAACGCACAUUGCGCCCCCUGGUAUUCCGGGGGGCAUGCCUGUCCGAGCGUCAUUGCUGCCCUCAAGCACGGCUUGUGUGUUGGGCCCCGUCCUCCGAUUCCGGGGGACGGGCCCGAAAGGCAGCGGCGGCACCGCGUCCGGUCCUCGAGCGUAUGGGGCUUUGUCACCCGCUCUGUAGGCCCGGCCGGCGCUUGCCGAUCAACCCAAAUUUUUAUCCAGGUUGACCUCGGAUCAAGUAGGGAUACCCGCUGAACUUAAGCAUAUCAAUAAGCGGAGA
rnacentral:rRNA from 1 species